rnacentral:rRNA from 1 species
GAAAUCACUCAAAGGAACUUGUUUAAUAAUCGUAAAUACUCGAUAAUUUUCACCUUCAUCUUAAAGCUUAUAUACCGCUGUAUAAAAAACUUCUAAAUAUCAUUAUUUAAAUAUACUUUAAAAAUUCAAGUCAAGGUGUAGCUAAUAAUAAGAGUCUAAAUUAGUUACUAUAAACAUAAUUUAUGGAACUUAAAUAAAUUAAAAUAAAAAAGGAUUUAAUUUCAAUUUGUUAACAAUAACAACAAAUGAAAACUCCCCAUC